UAUAUAUAUAUAUAUAUAUAUAUAUAAUUUUUAUUUAUAAAUAUAUAUUCAUUUAUUAUAUAUAUUAUUUUAUUUUUAUAUAUAAAUAUUUAUAUAAUAUUUUAUUUAUAAAUUUAUAAUUAUUUAUUACUAUUUUUAAAUAUAUAAAUUUUAUGUAUUAUUAAUAUAUGUUUAUUAUUAAUAUAUGAAUAUAUUUAAUCUAUAUAUAAAAAUUAUAAUAAUAAUAUAUAUAGUAUAUUAAUUAUUAUAUAUUUAAAAUAUAACCGAAUUUUUGAUUCCGAAUUUUUAAUUGGUGAACGUAUAAUAUCCGUAUAAAUCACGUAUCCGAAUAAUUACCAAAUUCGUCUUUUAGCCAUAUUUUUUAACGAAUCUAAAAAUUAAAAGACGAAUUUUAUCCGAAUUAUACCUGUAUCGAAUUUUUGCCUAAUCCGAAUUAACUAACUAUGCAAGAAAGUAUAGAAAUAGAUCCCUAAAUGCUUUUAUUCCAACUCCAUUUUAUCUAAUAGCAUCAUAUAGACCUCAAUACCAAACUAAGUCUUACUAAUUUGAAGACCAAAGUGUAAGCAAUUUGAUCACAAUAUUUGUUUAAAAAAAAAAAUUUAGAACAAUUAUCACGGGUCUUACUAAUUUGAAGACCAAAAGCGUAAUUAGUCCAAAUAAAGAUAGAGUUAAAUAUCGAUUGGUUUUGUUCAAUUAGUAAUUUUAUUCAAGAAAAAAUAUAUUAAACUAUCUAACAAAUUUUAUAAUGCCUAAUUGUUAAAAUUAAAAGUCGACCAAUUAUAUUUUGGAUAUUUCAAAAAUUGUAGAUGUAAAAUUGAUCACUUAUCAGAUUAUAAUAUAAUAUUAAAAAUUGAUAUUAAAAUCAAAGUAAAAUCGUAUAAAAUUUGUCUAAACUAUGAAUCAAUUUGAAUUAUCUAUUCAACUUUUUAAAUUUUUAUUUUUACUAUAAAAUCAUUCUAUAUGUUCGAUUUUAAAAUUCACGUAUAAAAAAUCCCCCAGGCACGCUCGCGUGCGCGCUCGUGCCCGCACCUCGCCCGCGCCCGCUCCCCCGCAUGCCACCCCCCCCUCGGCUCCCCUUCGCCGCCACGUGUACUAAAACUCCCGAUUCAUAUAUUUACUAGUUUACGCGCGAUGCAGCGAGUAGAUAAUAAAAUCUAAAAUUUCAAAUUUUAAAAAAUAAAAUUAUAGUAAGAAUUCUAAAUACUAAUUUUUCUAAAUUAUAAAAUUUUGAAUGAAAGUUAUAUGGCUCCAAAACAACACUAUUCUUCAAUAAAUGUGGUUAGAAACUUUAGAAUUUUACCAAAUUCUAAAAUUCACACUAUAAAGUUCAUAUUAUAAAAUUCAAAAUAAAAUAAGUCUAUUACAUAUAUUCUUAAAAUAUUAUAGAAAUUAAAUCUUGUGAUAGUUUUGUUGGGAAAAUCUUCACUUCUCUUCUUCAUCGGAAUCAGAAGACUAAAUUAAACUGCAAAUAAGAGUACACAUUCAAGUUUUUUUCUAUUUAUAUCAAAUAAAAUAUAAACUAUGCAUUAGAUAUUUUAAAGCAAUAUUUUAAACUUCUUAUGAACAGUAUGUUUGUAUUUUAUUUCUUAGAUCUUAUUUACCAGUUGGUUAAGACAUUAGGAAGGUGGCAUGAUACGUUGUUUGAUAUAUAUAUAUAUAUAUAUAUAUAUAUAGAAUGGAGUUUUAUAUGAAAAUGACUUGAUAAAAUUAGAUAGAAAAAGUUAAGAAUUCAACAAAAAACUCAAUUUAUAUUCAGAGAUGAUCCUGCACAGUUUAAUUUAGAGUGUAAUUUGUUAAAAUUAAAUCAUUAGUUAAAUUUUAAUUUAUUUAUUGAGUUAUAUUUUGUUAUAAAUUGGAUUUGAAUGGGACUAAAUAAUUUAAGUUGAUUUGUGGGUAGAAGUAGCAUAAAAAAAUAAAAAGAAAGUUGUAGAUGUAGAUGAAUCAUUAGCAACAACAGCACUAUAAUAUGGCAAAAUUAAAAUAAUUAUAAAUUUCAAACAAAUAAUUAAUAUGGCAAUAUGUAAUUAUUUUCAUAAAUCGGCUAUUCCUAGAAACCUCCACAUCAACAAAAGAACAAAACUGUCCAUCUGCAACCAUAGUAAUUCCAUAUCUUCGAGGAGGUAACGAAAAUUGUAAGGAUUGAGAUGUUUACAGUGCAACUAAACUCUUCGUUGACGAUAUUUAUGUGUGUAAUUUAAUUACAUAAGCACUCGUCAAGUUUCAGAAGAAAAUGAGCUAAAACGGAGAAGUUACGCGAUUAUUAGUUUUCACUUAAAGUGAAUAGUAACUCCGGUUUUCCGGAGAAGCCACGGAGUAGAGUUGGCUUUCGGCGCGUAUCGGACUCCGAGCAUAGAACUCCAAUAGCUCGUUUCGAACAGUUCAGCUAUUCUGGAACCAAUGGCACUGACGGAUUUCGGAUCCGAUGCACGGUUUUCGAGAAAAAGGAGUUUUAACAAAAAGAGGGUUUCCGCUCUUUGCUAUUCGUGCAUUUUAAAACUCCUCGUGCUCUGUGCUUGUGACCUGGGAUUAGGUGAGAGUUGUUUUUGGUACCUACUGGUGGUAGGGAAUUCAAAUUUGAAUUUGGUUGUGAACCCCAAUAAAUACACAUCGGAUGGCGAAUGGGGUUGUCAUUGGGUUUAUAAGAGACUUAGACACUAGUAAUAAUAACUGGGCUUAAGCAUUUUGGCUGGGUGGUUUUGGGCCCAAUGAGUUAUUGUUGCUAGUGGGCUGGGUCGUAUCAUUUGGUAUCAGAGCCGGUCUCACCAGCUGGACAUAUGUGGCGAGUCUCGGCUGAGCUAGGGUCUGGAUGACGGGCUAGCGAGACGAGUCUCACAUCGCCUGGUGAUCUUGGACUGGUGUGUGUGUUUUGGACUGAUCAGAGGACGUCAGCGGCCUUAACGGGGGAGUCCGUGAACCCAAUAAUCCACAUCGGAUGGGAAUGGGUAGUUGUCAUUGGGUUAUAAGAGACUUAGACACUAGUAAUAAUAACUGGGCUUAAGCAUUUUGGGCUGGUGGUUUGGGCCCAAUGCAGUUAUUGUUGCUAGUGGCGGCUGGGUCGUUACAGGAUUAAAGGUUGUUUAGGGUUUAUACUUCGGGGUAUAUGCGCGAUAUACGAAUUAAUUAGAGACGGGGUGGGUUCCGUCGUGAAUUCGUGACCAAAUCUGACAAAACAAGAUGGUAGUUGGAUGCCCUCAUUGUGCUGAACGCGAUGGUGCGAUCCGUUCGGAAAUCCGAUGAACGGAUUGCCGGAUAUUGCAGUGUUGUUCGCUAAGGGUCGAGAGUGGAAAAUCGCGGAAAUUCGCAAAAGUCGUUAUAUUUUAUGUACCGAUUUGCCAAGGGAUCUGUUAUAGGAAGGAUUCGUGCAUUUUACACGUGCUAGCAGGGUCUGAACUGAAAAUAUUCAGCUUUGGGGACGUUUAAGCAUUCAUGUCGCUUGUAAACAAGUUGCGACUAGGGGUUUCAUUGCAUGAAAACCUAGAUCUAGCCGACCCAAUGCCUAGCUAUGCCCUAGUGAACACCAGACAGCUCUGCUGCCUAGGCAGGAACCCCGUGGCCGUACCCCGUGGCGGCAAUCUCCCCGGCCGCCGGAAAAAGCUUGGGUGGCUUUCCUCCACCAUAUUCUAUACCUAACCACCAUAGAUCGACCUUCAUCUCUGUCGUGGCCCUCAGGGAAGAGAUCCACUAGCCUUUGGCCUUGUCCUUGGCUGCAACCUAACCCCAGGCGCCGUCUCUGCCGCCCCGAGCGCGCCAUCAUCGCCCUGGCUAGAUGCGGCCAGAUCUGAAGCAGAUCUGGCGAAGGCCGUCGGGGAUCUCCUCCUCCUCGCCCUGCUGCCGUCGGGAUUGAAGCGUCACCCUCCUGGAACUCCCCGGCGCCGUCCCCGCAGUCGUUCGCGUCCUGCACGCGCCGCCGGCGCCGCCCCAGCUACCUGCGGCCACCCGCAGUCACCACCGGGCCGAGCCUGGGUGAUCUCGGUAUCCCGAGCCGGCUGACCUCCCUUUGGCCGCGGCCGCCCUUCUGUCGACGCCGCGCGACCUCCGGCAACCCGGCACGCUCGUCCCCCGCCGUCCCCGCGCGCCGCCGGUCGCCGCUGAGAUCACCUGCGGCCGCCCAGACCCGUGCGGGCCGAGCUCGGGCCCGCUCGGCUUCCAAGCGCCGCCGCCGCCAACCGGGGGUUGCACCGCCUUCUCCUCGGCCUCCGCCGCCGAUUCGUCGCCACCCCGACCUCCUCCGGCCGCCGCCGCGCCGCCGGGAAGAUCAAACCCGAGAAGGAGUGGGAGGCGUGGAUCUCAGCCGCCGCGCCACCGGUUGCCGCCCGCCACCGGCCAUCACCCUCCCCGGACCUCUCGGACCGACUGUUUCCAUCUCCGGCCGGACCGCCUGCCUCCCGGCCACCGGCGGCUAACCCUAGCUCCCUGCACUCCGGUAAGACUGUUUUUAGGUUACAGCUUACUGUUUGAGAUUUUCGGUUGCCUUUCCGGCAAUCCGAGGACACCCCGAUGACAGAGGAAGUGAGCACGGUCAUCCUUACUUCGUGCUGAACAUCGUGCUCACCUUCGUUGGGGUCAACGAUGCCCAGGUUUGCGAGUUUGACGCAAUGUAAGCGCUGUGCGCGCUAUUUCGCUGAGGUUCGCGUCGUGUGUGCGACUGCCACAAGGGUUGGCAGUGCUCCGAAAGGUGAGCACGGCCUCCGGCACGUCGAAACCUGUAAAUGGGUAUCUUAGCUCGGCUGAUUGACCUCUGGUUUGCGUAGACGGACCAUAAAAGCCCGAGAAAUACAUGAAACAAUGUGAUUUCUUAGAAUUGGGAGGGCUUUUAUGCAAUUUGAUUCGUCGUGGCUGCUGUUGGAAGCAUUUGCGGGUAGUGGGUAACCUCUGGACUGAUUGUCCAAGGCCCCAAGUCCUUGCGGAAAUCGAAAAGUGAUUUUCGGAGCGUUUUUUGGCGAAAUCCGCCGAUAGAACGUGGUUUCGGUUCGGAAUUCUUCCGACGGUUCCUCGUGAGCAUUUCUUGAGUCGCUGAGCCUUGUUGGCUGGUCACUCACAUCAUUUCAGGGGUUUUGAAAUGGCGGGUGAGCGACGGUGGGUUCCGGUGUUGAAAUAGACACUCUCGGGAACCCGGAUCCGAACGAUUAUCCGACGAUAAUUGUUUGGAGGCGAGAUUUUGGGAUUGCUGCCAAGACAUCUUAUUUGAUGUGUUUAGUGGCAGCGGGUGACUCGUAUCAUGAGUCGGUGCGUUUCGGGACAUUUUAGUGGUCCCGACGGAGUCCCGGUGCGAUUUUCGGGACUUCCGGCGAGUUACGGUAAUCGGUAUUGGGAAACCGAUCUCCGUGGGAUUGCUUAUGGGUUAUGCUUUUAGGGUUUCUUAGUUGUGGGUUAGACACUAACCUAGUGGACCCUCCUUAGGUCCGGUUGACGUUCUUUUGCAGUCAGGAGACAGGCGCGACAUUUGUACAGGUGGGUACUUCGAUCCGACGUUGGUACAGUGGUGCACGCUCGGUGAUGGUUUCUUACCUUUGCUCUUUCGUUAUUAUCUAGCAUAUAUAUAUCUUGAUAUAUAGUGUUGAGCCUAGCACCAUGUUGUUCAGUUACACUCUACUCGGUUGUUCUCUUUAUAUCAUGAGUAGGAGUAGAGUAGUCAUACCAUAUUUCUUUAUUGCGCUACUUAGCUAUUCUGCAUAUCUUGUAUCAUGUUUAGAGUAGAGCGGUUUCGUGAUUUUAUGUGAAAUCGGUGACCUAGUUGAUUUGUUCUUGUAUCUUAUAUCUGUAUAUAGUCGGUUUGUUCCUUGACUCUUGUUGUUUGAUGACCUUUGAGGUCGGUGUACCCUGAGGGGUAGGAUUGUCGACUAGUGGCCGACGGUAGUUCUAGAUCAUAUACUCAGAUGACUUGUUGACCGAUUCUUGCAUAUAUACAGUAGUUGACUCAUUGAUCAGUAUCUACAUACUGUGGGUAGGAUGUUGAGUUGUUCCAUCCCAGUUGACUUGAUUAGUCAGUAUUUGCAUAUGUUUGAGAGGAUGUCGAUGUUGUCCCAUCCUAGUUGACCUGAGUGGUCGGUUCUUGUGCUUCUUUACAGUUGAUGACCUAUGCGGUCGAUAGGCCCUGGGGGGCAGGAUUGUCGGCUGGUUGCCGACGGUUGAUCAUUGACCAUAUUGCAUUGAUCGCCCGAUACUCGUCGCAUUUCACGAACACUGGCGGUCUGAUCCACCGCAAGGAGUGUUCUUUUCCGGAAAAGUGGUUGAAUGGUGACAACCCGUGAGCCCUAGAGGGGUUAUAUGCAUGUUAGAGCGGCAGUGGUACUGUCGGGAGGUGUUGCGGUGCGGACCUCCAGGGCAUUGGCUUGAGGUCUGCGGUGCUGACCAAGAGAGCAUUGGUUUCAGAUUGGGUACUUUUGGACUGAUUGUCCCAUUGACGCAUAUGUUUAUAGUAGCAGUCGUUGCAUGCAUACUUACAGAUCUUACUUUAUAGUUGUCUUGCUACUAUAGUAGAUAUUCAUGUAUGCUUUCUGUUCCAGUUACAGUAGCGGUAGCCGUUUAUUCAGUAUAGUUCUUACUUCCUUUCAGUUUAUCGCUAUUGUAUAUCUGCUCAUUACCUUGUUUAUUUCCACUGACCCAUGUUGUUGUAUAGUUCUUCCUGAUCCGGUGAGUACUCCUCGCCUUCUUCGGCUUGCGGUACCCACUGGGAGGGGAGACAUGUUUACAUGUUCUCACCUCCCCCACCAUUUUUCAGGUAUCGCGGGCGUUGAGUAGUGGGACGAGACGUGAGGUACGUGUGUAGCGGUCGAUAGAGCUUCCGACCCAGGUUAUUUCGAUUUAGCUAUUACCCUUUUUAUUUCUGUGGAUAUAUAUAGCUUAGUCGGUUUACAUGGUUCAGUUUUGUUUUAUUAUUUGAAUAUCUGAGUUUUCAGUUGGUUUUGGAAUGUAAUAAAGGAAUUGUGUUUUCUUGAAAUAAAAGGUUUUCUACCCCUCGUGGUAGCGUUUCUUAAAGAAUAAAGGUUUCCGUGUAGGGAACAGUUUUCAAAAGAAUUUUCGUGAAUUUCUAUUUAAACACUGAAUGUAAAACUGUGAUGUGAAUGGUGAAUGUAUGGAUGUAUAGUUAUCUUUAUAUUCAUUUGGUUGUGGUUGUUUCCUGGCUAUACUCUUGUACUUGUGCGAUGCCAUGCAAAUACAGGGGAGACUCUGUCCGUGUGAAUAGUGGAUUCCCUGUAUUUGUGGCGGAUCUGGCAUACCCUGGGGUCAGGUUUGCAAAAAAAAAAAAUUUCGCUGUGUUUUUAACCUAAAGGGACCCCGGGGCGUGACAAAAAUUGUACAUAGAUUUUGCGAAGUAAACAGCGAAAGUUGAUGUCGAUAUUAACAGUUGAUGCCAUUUAUUGUCGAAGAAUACAUGCAGGACUUUUGUUUUAGUUUUGACAUGUGUUUUACUUUAAACACAUAUUCUAUUAAAUAAUAAAGGCAAAGAAAAAUAUUUAAAAGUAAUAAAGUUCUAACUAAAGCAAAAUCAUAAAUACAAAAAUACAAAAACAAAGGAAGUCAAGAAUAAAGACUCUAAACUAAAGGCAUAUUGAGCAUGGAUAAAAACAAUGCACAUAUAGAGGGCCUCGGAAUGACUUCUUUUUUAACUUUUUAAUGUAAAUAUGAGCAUAUGCACUACAACUUAUCGGAGGUUUGAAGGAAUGCAACACCAAACAGGAGAUCAAUUAACGUAGUAGAUCGUUGAUAGAUUCCUGAGGGAAAAUAAUAAAAUUGUAUGUAAUACAUUAAUAUUUUUCAUGUAACUACAAACAUAUCUAAAAUCAAAGCAAAUAUGAGCACAUAGGUAUUAGGAUUUACCGAAAAUCCGAAGGAAGGCAACACCAAACAGUAGAUUAAUCAAUGUAGUGGAUCGCCGAUGGAUUCCUGAGGAAAAAUAACAAAACAUCAAAUAACAAAACAUAAAAAAAAUGUACAUCUGUACAUAGUCUGUACAUAGUAAUAAUAAAGUGAAAAUAUAGAGUAUCUACCAUCUACUACCUACCAUUGAUAAAAUAUUGUUGGAAAAGAUGCUGGAAUAAAGCAAAUGCCAAUGUUAUUAUAUAGGCAUAUCCAUCUUCUCCUUCAACGGCUGAAGAAGAUAAAUCUCUUCUCCUUCCGCUAACCUUCCACCUCUCUAUCUUCUCCUAAUUGAAGAGGAAUAUCGAGCAUGAAGGGCCAAAGAACGGAAACGGCCGAUGAUGAAGAUGAACAGGGUUCUUACUGAACCCUGUUCAUAGCCGGUUCGGUUUAAUAAAUGAAAGAAAGGGAAAUGAAGAGAAAGUAGACUGGUUCACAUUGAACCCUAUUCACAGUCGGUUCAGUUUAAUAAAAGAAAGAAAGGGAAAUAGAGAGAAAGUAGACCGGUUCACAUUGAAGAUGAACCAUGUUCAUAGCCGGUUCACAUUGAAGAUGAAUCCUGUACACCACCGGUUCGGUUUGGUUCGGUUCGGUUCAAAUAAGAAAGGCAAGUCAGUUCAAGUAAGGACUGAAAAAACGAAUUCAAACAAAAUAUAUAACAACCAACUGUCCCUAGAGCAACUGGCAAAGGGCUUGGUGGUUGGUACCCGAGACCCAAGUUCGAAUCCUAGUUGAUUCACAUUUCCAGCUAAGUUUAUUUCUAAAUGAAAUAAAUGAAGCGGGUAGCGUGCUACCUAUCUCUCAAAAAAAAAAAAAAAGACAAAAUAUAUAACAAAGUAGACCGGUUUGAUUCGAAAAAAAAGAAGAGCCAGGUUCGGUCCAAGUAAGGAGUGAAGUAUUAGAUUCAAACAUAUAUAACAAAGUAGACUGAUUCGAUUCAAAAAAAAAGAAAAAAGUAGAGAUGAGCCGGUUCAAUAAAAAACUAGUUUCAAUCCGGUUCGAUUCAAGUCAGGAGUGAAGAACCGGAUUCAAACAUAUAUAACAAAGUAGACUGAUUUGAUUCAAAAAAAAUAAAAAGUAGAGAUGAGCCGGUUCAAUAAAAAACCGGCUUCAACACAAAAUAUAUAACAAAAUAUGUCGAUUCAGUUCAAAAAAAUAAAUAGAAAGAAGAAGAGGUUCAAAAAAGAAUAAUUGAAAGAAGAGAAAAAAAAAUCGGAUUCAAACAAAAUACAUAACAAAAUAGACCAGUUCGGUUCAAAACUUUUUUUUAAAAAUAAAGUAUAUAAAAAAACUUAUUGGUUCGGUUCAAAAAAGAAUAAUUGAAAGAAGAGAAAAAAAAAAAUAGAAAAGUCCUAAACUAAGGAGGAAGCGCCACAUCAUCUUACACAUUGGAGAUUAAUAUAGUUGUAUAGAAUAUAUAACAAAGUAGACCGAUUCGAUUCAAAAAAAAUAAAAAGUAGAGAUGAGCCGGUUUAAUAAAAAACCGGUUUUGACACAAAAUAUAUAACAAAAUAUGUCGGUUCAGUUCAAAAAAAUUAAUAGAAAGAAGAAGAGGUUCAAAAAAGAAUAAUUGAAAGAAGAGAAAAAAAAAUUGGAUUCAAACAAAAUACAUAACAAAAUAGACCAGUUUGGUUCAAAAAAUUUUUAAAAGAAGAUGAGUCGGUUGAAUGAAUAACCGAGUUCGACACAAAAUAUAUUAAAAAAAGGGAUAAUUGCCUAUUUACCCCCCAUACGUUUGAAAAUAUCCGAUUUACCCCUAUCUUUUUUUUCCUUCUAAAAUACCCCUUAUAUGUUCCACCGUUAUUGCAAAAUACCACCGCAGUUAUCUCCUGUUAAGUUAACUUGAGUUAAAUGUGAGUUAAAUAUCUACCACAGUUAAAAAAAUAAAAUGCCAAUUUUGCCCUUAACAUAAGGGCAAAUAAGAAAUGUUGGUGACGGUAGAGGGGUAUAUUUAAAAAGGCCAAAAGUCAAAAUACUUUUUGUGCCCCUGACUUUAAGUGCAAAUAAGAAAGUUAGUGAAGGUGGAAGGGUAAAUUUGAAAGGGCAAAAUAGUAAUUUUACAGAGAUAACAGAGUUAAUUAACAAAUUUUAACUCUAAGGGUAUAUUAGAAAUAGGUUAGAACGUAAAAAGAGUAUUUUCAAUAUUAGCGUUCUAAAAGGGGUAAAUCGGAAAGUCGGGAACUUUUCAGGGGUAUAUAAGGAAUUGCCCCUAAAAAAAAACUUGUUGGUUCGGUUCAAAAAAGAAUAAUUGAAAGAAGAGAAAAAAUAAAAAGAAAAGUCCUAAACUAAGAAGGAAGCGCCACGUCAUCUUACACAUUGGGGAUUAAUAUAGUUGUAUAGACCAGUUGGUUCAAAAAAAUUUAAAAACCAAAUGAGUCGGUUCAAUGAAGAACCGAGUUCGACACAAAAUAUAUAAAAAAACUUGUUGGUUCUGUUCAAAAAAGAAUAAUUGAGAGAAGAGAAAAAAUAAUUAGAAAAUUCCUUAUAAGGACUGAGAAUUUGACUGUGUAGUUAAACUCUGUGUUGACGAUGUUUUUAUGUGUAAUUUAAUUAUAUAAACACUCGUCAAGCUUCAGGAGAAAAUGAGUUAGGAUGGAGAAGUUACGCGACCUGUACUAGUCACUUAAAGUGAAUAGUAACUCUGGUUUUCCGGAGAGGCCAAUUAGUGGAAAUGGCUUCUGGUGCGUAUUGGACUCCGUUCAUAGUGAUCCAAUAGCUCGUUUUCAAUGGUCCGGCUAUUUUGGAACCAUUGGCGCUGAUGGAUUUCAGAUCUGACACACGGUUUUCGGGGAAAUUGAAAAUACAUGUUUUCUAUGUAUUUGUGUGCGGGAUUUGCCUAUUGGUGAGAGGAUGGAUUUCGUCGCGAAUCUGCGACCAAACCAGACGAAACAAAAUAGUGAGUUUAAUGCCCCUGUCGUGUUGAUCGCAUUAGUGCGAUCCAUUCGCAAAUCCAAUGGACUGAUCGCCGGAUAUCGUGUGAUUAUCGAGGAGAGGUCAAAAUGGCAAUUUUGUAUCUUGCGCAAAACCCUCUAUAUUUUAUGUACCGAAUCGCGUGAGAUCGGACGUGGAGAUGCGUACGCGCAUUUUACACGCACUGGGAGGGACUCAAAUGAAAUUAAUAAGUGUCGGAGGACUAUUUUGCAAGGUGGCCAUAUUGUAUAUAUAUGGCAUCUAGGGUUUUCAAGUGGAAACCCUAACCUUAGAUGUCCUCCUCCCUCAGCCGACCUCCCUGCCACCCCCAGCACCUCCCUCUGCCCUAGCCACGCGCACCCCAGCCAACUGCGCACGCUGCCGGCUGCCGGAGAGGCUCCUCCUCCCUUUCCUCCACCAUCGCCAUCACUACCUUCACCUUUCUCUGCCCGAGCAUCAGCAUGGAGGGGCCCCUCACCCUCAGGCUCCUCCCCUGGCCGUGCCUGACCUCCGGCGACCCUCCCCUACCAGUCCCCGCCGUCCCCGCACGCCGCCGUCGCCGUCUAGGCGCUCUGCGGCCAACUGGGUCAGCUUGGGCCGAGCUUGAGUUAUCUCAUGGCCCGCAAGCUGCCGCCGCCUGGAACCUGCCGCGCCACGCUCCACCGACCCUCGGCGACCUCCUCGCCGGUCGCCGCCAGCCCGGGCCCGUCGCCGUCGCCGCCGGCCCUGCGCGUCACCGUCGCAGCUCCUGCUAGCCUAUGGCCGCCCCGAGCCAGUUCGGGCCGAGGCGGAGCCAGCCUUUCCCCUCGCGCCGCCGCAGCCUCCCACCGCCGGCUGGUGUGAGCGCCGGUUCUGCCUGGCUUGUCGCACCCAUCCGCCGCCAGCGCCCCCACUGUCGGAGCUCCCUGUUGGCCGGAUUGGGCCCGUGCUCUCCACGGGUUUGUGUGGCUAGGGCAUCAGUGCCCGUCGCUGCCGUCGCCUUCCGUCACCUGCCGACGCACGCCCCGGCCUCCCUCCGUCGCCCGCACCCGCCUGCUGCCAAUGCACCCGCCGCCGGCCGUGCCCUAGCUCCACUUUGCCCGGUAAGCUUUUUGUAAGCAUUCUGUGCACUGUUCAGGAUUCCGGUCGCUUUUCUAGCGAUCUGGAGACACCCCAUGUCAUGGCCCGGGACCGCCGAUUUGGUUGGUUCGGGCACGUCAACAGACGCCAGACGGACAACACCUUCCACUGCCUGCCCAAGACUCAACACAAGUAUCAACAUGUAUAUAAAUUUGCGCAAGCGGAAAUAGAGAUAUACAUGGCUUGCACGAAGGCAAGCAACAACUAAAAGUGAGAGUUCUACACUAUAACAUCCAUACAAGUACUAUGAUUACUUUUAAUCAAAUACAUACUUAUAAUCAUUUAUAUUCUUUCAUAUACAUCACAUGAUUAUCAUCCAAAACAUAAGUCUUUUACAUUUAUACGUCAUUUUCUACAUUUGCUCAUCAUAAACAAAAUAUGAUAACAUCGGGAUAUGAACUAUACUCGGGUAGUCACUAGCUAGGGUGCGAUACCCUUACCACGGUCCUCGACCGCCUUGCUCGGACCUGGAUCUGAAAAAAUAGUGGGGUGAGAACUACAAGAAAGUUUUCAGUGGGUUCGGCCGCCGACCUCACCGACUUUCCCACCAGGUCUAAACCAGGCAUAAGUAGAAGAAGCAGAUAGAUAGGUAACCAUUCUAAACAAAUGCAGCUACUAUACUUGAACAAGAAUACUAACAAUAUAUGAUGCUCAUGAUGCAUGCCAAUUACCUUUCUCAAUACCCAAUCCUCUCGGCUAACCCAUAGGUUUCGCCCAAAAAUAACUCACCAACUCAAAUCCUUACUAUCGGGGAGAAACUCCUACAACCCGAUGGGACCAUUCUCUGGGGAAACUACAAUCUAGUGAUGACUACUCCGAAGCUCAUCGCUCGAGGGGGUGCGACCGCCCUCAAGCCAAGACUUACAGGUGAGUAUGAUCCAAUCCUUAAUUAUAAGAAUGCCAUGUUCAAUCCAUUCCUUAACUAUAAGGAUGCCAUGUUCACAAUGCCCCAACACACUAUGUGUUCUAUUCUCUAGCAUUCAUUAUGCUCACUAAUAUCACAACACAAAGUGUCUCAUUCUCUAGCAUUCAUUAUGCUCACUAAUGCCACAAUGUGCUAUUUCACUCACUUGUCAUAAUGUCACCAUGUUCUUUACCUCAACUAGGUUGUAAGAUAAUGAAUCCUCGUCGUGUUAAACCACUUUUGGUCAAAAUGGCCAAAGUGUGGCGAGAGAGAUGGUUGGACAUGGUCCAUAUGACACUCCAACAAUGUUGGAAGGGUUAAAGUUGAGUCUCGAUUAGGUUAGAAGAGUUUUAGCAUUGCUCGGCGCGAAAUAGAGCUAAAGCAUUGCCAAAACUGCAGUCUUGACACUGUGUAUCGGUACUGAGGAAAAGGUACCGGUACCAGGCAAGCAACCCGAGAAGGUUGCUCUCGGGUUUGGCUAUUUCGGGGCUGAGUACCGGUAUGCACCAAGGCAGUACCGGUACUCCGCAACAAACCGAGGAUAGCAGCUCUCGGGUUUGGGCUGUUGACAAGGGGCGUACCGGUGACACGAACCCGCGUACCGGUACGCAGCGCCUCGAACAACAGAGUUGGUCUGCCGUAAAUAAGAAAAAAAUGAGGGCUUGUUUGUAAUUGUGGCAGCUUAUAUAAGCCCCACACUCUCUUCUCUCCUAUUCACAGCCAAAGAACACCCUCGCCUCUCAUUUUUCUCCCUCUCUCUCUGUGACGCCCCAACUUCCCAGGGGGUCACCCAUCCUAGGACUACUUCUGUCCUAGCACGCUUAACUCUCUUAACCUCUUGGGCCUUGCCACCACCCAAAAUGCUUAAGCCGGGUUAAGAGUUUAGCCCUAUUAUAUCUCAUAUAUAGGACUAUCUGGGGUCUCACAAUCUCCCCUCCUUUAAGCCCUGACGUCCUCGUCAGGCUCAGACUCACAAGUAGCAGGCGAUGUGAGACUCAUCUCGCUAGCCCGUAAUCCAGACCCUGGCUCAGUCGAGACUCAUCUCACACUUCCGGCUGGUAAUUGUCUCUGAUACCAUCUGUGACGCCCCAACUUCCCAGGGGGUCACCCAUCCUAGGACUACUCCCGUCCUAGCACGCUUAACUCUCUUAACCUCUUGGGCCUUGCCACCACCCAAAAUGCUUAAGCCGGGUUAAGAGUUUAGCCUUAUUAUAUCUCAUAUAUAGGACUAUCUGGGGUCUCACACUCUCUUUCUAGGAACUCUCCCCCAAGGUAGAUUGGAGGAGGAUUUGGAGGAUAUUUUUGGAGCUUGAAGGUGGAUCUUCAUCUUCUUCUUCUUCCUUAGCUUGGAGAAAGAGCUGGGUUGAGGUAAGCUUCUUACCCUCUCAUGAUGGAUUGUUAGGGUUUGGCUUAGAUCUCUUAGAACCUAGCUAAAUGGAACCCUAGAUGCUAGUAUGUGUGGCUAUUGCUAGAAUCAUGAGCUUUUUUUGAAGUAUUCUUGCAAUAGUUGCAUCUUAGGGUUUAGAAAGGGGCUUUUGCUCAUAGGUGGUUUUGAGCCAAAUUGACCUCAUAUAACUUCAAUUGAAGGUAAAAUCGACGUUGUGGACAACUCAAAUCGAAGUCCCUAUGGUCGUGUGGUGAGCUAUUGAAGAAAAGGACCAUUUUUGCUUCGUUUGCGCAGAGACGAGCCGAAGCAACGUCCAAAAAUCACAGAACUAGGAUUCUAGCAUCACGGCAUCACCAAAAGCUCGGGGGUGCUAUUCGAAGCCAUCGGGCUUCAUUCUAUGUCUAUGUUACUUUGUUAAUCUUGCAUCUCUCAUGUUGAUUAUGCAUUGUAGGAUGUUGAUAAUUGCAUUUCCAUUCCUUAUAUGCUUCCUUGGUUGAAAUAGCAUUGUGAGUUGAGCACAUGAUAUAUUGGAUGCGUGAGGAUUGGGUCUUAACAUGAAAUCCUAUAAUGCCGAUAAUAAGGGUGAACUUGGUAAAUGUAAUGACAUAGACGAGUGGCAUACAAAACUAUAUGUGAUGACAUAAUGAGUGGCACAUGAACUAGUGUAAUAGAAACACUUAUGACAUGAUGAACCUAGGGAUAGAUAAUUUUCCCAAGUUAUGGACAUAUGACAUGUGAACUUAGUGUAGUUGAGACACUUGAACAUGAACAUUGGGAUAGUUGAGUUCCCGAGUUGUUGUUAGCCCUAGUUGGUAGGGUAUCCUCAGUUGACGAGGAUUGGAUCACACUCACAUAGUCUGUUCUCGCUUGGCGGUGGUCGCUCCACCCAAGCAGUGAGCUCCGGAGUUAUCACACUAGGGGCAGACGUGGUUGUCCCGCAGACGGUCUCGGGUGGGUCGAGUGGCUGGGUCUCCUCACCUAUGGGAUUUGCACUGUGAGUCGAGGCCAACCUUCGGGUUAGCCAAGUGGAUUGGGUAAUGAACUAAUGAAUGACAUACUUGUUGAACAUAGUAGUAUGAUAGUUGACUUCAUUACUAUAUAGUUUUUUCAUUCAUUCAUCUUGAUUGAGGCAUAGUAGCAUGAUCGUAGAUUUCAUUACUAUGUAGUAGUUGCUUUCAUAUCUAUCUAUUUACUUAUGCCUGCUUAGACCUAGUGGGAAGAUUGGCGGAGUCGGCGGCCGAACCCACUGGGAACUAUUAUUAGUUCUCAUCCCACUUUGUUGCAGGGCCGAGUUCGAGCGGAUCGGGUGAGGACCACGGUAAGGGCAUAGAGCCCUAGUUAGUUAGUAGCUUUUCUUUAUGCAUUAGUAUACCAUGUACAGUUGAGAGGACAUGUUGCAUUUUGUGAGAGGCUACUACUUAUAGAUGUAUAUGUAUUUUGGAGUUGUGGAUGUAUCUAUAUGUCAUGAGAUGAACAUGUAAACCAAUGUAUCCAUUUUGAUAUGAUGUAAACAGUUGAAUAUGAAUGUAAUAGAUAGUACUCUCUCUUGUGCUUUUGCUUGUAUCAUACUCGCAAUGAUUCAUGUAUGUUGUUAUGUUUACCUGGGCAACUAAAUGUACAUGAUCCUUAUUGUUGAGCCUUUGGCAGAAAGGAAAAGUUCUGUCCGUUCGGCAUCUGUUCGGCGUACCCAAACUGACCAAAUAGGCGGCUGUGGGGCGUGACAGAUUAAAGUGGUAUCAGAGCAAGUAAAGAGAGAAGUCUAGGAUGGACCUAGGAGACCUAGGAUGGUAACCUUAAGGCUAUAGGUGCGUGAGUGAGACGUGGACCUAUGCCAGGUGGCGGAAGUUGAUUCGAUUGGGUAUAGUUGUUGGUAUGUCUCUAGUGGUUGAUAGAGACGGAUUCAAGUGAUAUGAGUUCUCUACUUGAGGAGGUUAUGUUGGCGGCCGACAACAUGACGCCAAGAGUUGAGAAUGAGUACGCUUGUGUGCUUCCGCCAGAUUGGGUGUCGAGUUGUUUGUUCCUAAAUUGCGUAGAGUCGUGGGUUAUGGUAAUUAACCUAAUUAUUGCGUUUCAGGAGCUAUGGCACCAAGGGGACGCCCCCCGACGCGAUCCGCUCCGACACCGCCUCCCGAGGUGCCCUAGUAUUCAGGAUCUGAGGAAGUGCGGGAACUACGAGCACAGAUGGCUACGAUGGUCGGUGCGAUGCAGCGCCAAGAGGAUCAUAUCGCAAGGCUGCAGGAGUUGGUGGUCCAACAAGCGUCGGCUCAGGCGGAUGUUGAGCGACCCACGCCUCCUGCCGUUGUUCCUGGGGCGGCGGAGGGUGUGGCCACGACGGCUGUGCCAAUUGCAGCGAGGCCCGCAUCGGCGGUAGUAGCUACGGUAAUAGACCUAAGUGCUUCGAAUCCCGAUGGUGCGGCCAUGGCAGCGGAAAGGGAGCGCGCACUUGCGGCCCUCGUGAUGUUCCGGAAGUUUGAUCCACCGGUGUUUGACGGGGAGAAGGUCACGGGAUGGUCGAGUCGUGGAUUGACUCGAUGGAGACCCCUUUCGAGGAUCUCUACACUUUGGAGAAAGACAAAGUACACCUCGCCACUCAUUGCUUGGAGUGGACGGCGAAGGUGUGGUGGAAACGGAUCAAGCGGGAUCGGUCUUCCGACCUUCCGCCGUUGUCGUGGGAGGAGUUUCAGGACUUGAUGUACACUAACUACUUCUCCGAUAGAGAAAAGAAAAAGCUUCAAGACCAAUUCUGAAAGUUGAAGCAAGGAAACCGCUUGGUAGGGGAGUAUGAGCAGGAGUUCUCACAUAUCAUCGAUUGUGUUCCCGAUGUGGUGUGGGACGACAAGGAUCCAGCCGAUUGGGUCGAGCGAGGAUUUCGGCCGGAUAUCUACACGGCAGUUCACAUUUUAAAUCUCACUAUCUUUGCGGAGGUGUUAGAUCGGGCAUUGUGGGCGGAGCAUGGUAAUGCCUACAUCCGUGAGGAGUGAGAGGCGUCCUAGAAGGACGGAGGAAAGAAGCGGGCACAAGGUGGCUCGGGAGGUCAGUCGAGAUCGAGGAGGCCUCCUAAGUACCCGUGAACACAGUCCAAGUGCCGUGGGGCUCAGCAGUGUGUCAUUUGUGGCGGAAACCACCGAGCGAUGCAUUGUGAGCAGCGCCAAGGAAAGUGCUUCGAAUGCAGUCAGGCGGGGCAUGUUAGUCGCUAUUGCCCAAAGAGGACCUCUCCUGCCCCGUCCGUCGCAUUGGCUCCGGCGACUCCGGGACAUUAUGGAGGAGUUCCACCCACUGCCACGUCUGCCGGACAUGCUAUGGCGCCGCGUCAGCCCGAGAUGACCCGGUCGGCUACGAGUGGCCAGGUAUUCGCCGCUCAAGUAGAGGAACCUACCGAGGCCUAGGAGCGCCACGUCGUAGCAGGUAUGGUGUUGAUUAAUGGAGUUCGAUCUAGAGCUAUGUUUGAUACAGGUGCUACGCAUUCAUUCAUCAGUCGACCCUUUGCCGAGAUGCAUGGUAUAGAAAUCCAGUUGAGUGAAAGCACUUGGCGGGUUGAAGGCCCCGGGCGUGCAAUUGUUAUUAGGAAGGAGUGUUUGGCUUGUCCAGUACAAGUGGGCAACUGGAUAAUGCCAACAUGUCUGUUCGUGCUCAAGAGGUUGAAGGAUUUCGAUCUGAUACUAGGCAUGGACUGGCUCUCGAAGUACUAUGCGUCUAUCGACUGCAAGAGCAUAUCACCUUUUGUGAGCCAGGACAGGAAGAGUUCGCUUAUCGGGCGUGUAAGAAUUCGUGCUUCGCCAUGACGGUAUCGGCGUCUAGGGCAAGGAAAAUGGUUAGCAGCGGUUGCGCAGCUUAUUUAGCGACCAUUUUGGAGGUCAGUAGGAGACUCCAGCACUUGAGGAUUUAUCCGUGGUUCGGGAGUUUGCGGACAUGUUUCCCGCGGAGCUACCGGGGAUACCACCGGAUCGGGAAAUCGAGUUUGUUAUAGACUUGGUUCCCGGGACCGCGCCGAUUUCAAAGGCUCCGUAUCUUAUGGCACUGGCCGAGUUGAAAGAGUUGAGGGCUCAAUUGCAAGAUCUCCUCGACAAGGAAUUUAUUAAGCCGAGUGUAUCACCGUGGGGAGCCCCGGUGUUGUUCGUGAAGAAGAAAGACGGAUCGUUUCGACUCUGCGUGGAUUACCGCGAGUUGAACAAGGUCAUGAUCAAGAACAAGUACCCGUUGCCCUGUAUCGACGACUUGUUUGAUCAGUUGCAAGGGUCUCGGAUGUACUCGGAGAUAGACCUUCAAUCCGUAUAUCAUCAGUUGAAGAUAAAGCCGGAGGAUGUGUAAAAGACCGCGUUCCGCACGCGGUAUGGACAUUAUGAAUUCACGGUCAUGCCAUUCGGGCUCACAAAUGCCCGGCAGCGUUCAUGGACUUGAUGAACCGUGUAUUCAGGGCUUUCUUAGACCAAUUUGUCGUGGUAUUCGUAGACGACAUCUUGGUCUACUCUCGUAGUGACGAGGAGCACACGGAACAUUUGAGGAUUGUGCUACAAGUCAUUCGGGAGAAAAAGCUCUAUGCAAAGUUAAAGAAGUGCGACUUUUGGCUCCAUAAAGUCGCACUUUUGGGACAUGUUAUUUCCGAGGGCGAAGUUUCUGUCGACCCGAGGAAAGUUGAGGCAAUCAAGGAUUGGCCUCGCCCGACAAAUAUGACGGAGGUUUGUAGCUUUGUGGGCUUAGCGGGCUAUUAUAGACGGUUUGUGGAGGGAUUCUCGAAGAUAGUUAUUCCACUCACCCGUCUUACUCAAAAGGGCACCAAGUUCAUGUGGAGUGAUGAGUGCGACCGGAGUUUUAAAGAGUUGAAGGAGAGAUUGACUUCGACUCCGGUGCUCGCCCUCCCGGUUCAAGGUGAAGACUUUGUGGUGUAUAGCGACGCAUCCUACCAGGGUCUUGGGUGUGUUUUGAUGUAAUGCAGGAAGGUGAUCGCUUAUGCGUCUCGUCAGUUGAAGAGCUAUGAAAAGAACUACCCUAUUCACGAUCUAGAGCUAGCUGCAGUGGUCUUCGCGCUCAAGCUGUGGAGGCACUACUUAUAUGGUGCGCAUUGCGAGAUAUACACGGAUCACAAGAGUCUAAAUACUUGUUCACACAGAAAGAACUUAAUAUGCGGCAGCGGCGGUGGUUAGAAUUAUUAAAGGAUUACGAUGUUACUAUCCUUUACCACCCCGGGAAAGCUAAUGUGGUGGCCGACGCACUUAGCAGGAAAUCAGUGGAAAAUCUUGCAAUGUUGGUCACACAUCAGAAGCCAUUGUGGAGAGAAAUAUGGCGGUUUGGCCUUGAGAUUGUGGCUCCGGAGGUUCCGACGAUGCUUAUGGCUCUCGUUAUCCAACUAACCUUAUUGGAGAGGAUUAGGAGUUUACAAUCCGCGGACUCGAGUCUCCAAAAGAUGCGGCGCGACAUCGAGAGUGGGUGCGGUGGUGAUUUCGGUGUAGAUCCCGAUGGCGCGCUUCGGUAUCGAAACCGAUGAUGUGCGCCGGAAAAUGAGAAAAUCCGAAAAUUGAUCUUGCAGGAGGCUCAUAGAUCUCCCUAUAGUGUCCACCCGGGCGGCACCAAAAUGUACAAGGACUUGAGGAUGCAUUAUUGGUGGCUAGGAAUGAAAGGUGAUAUUGGACGCUAUGUGGCGCAAUGUCUUGUGUGUGAGCAAGUCAAGGCUGAACGUCGAUUUCCAGCGGGAGAGCUUCAAAGUCUACCUAUUUCCAUUUGGAAAUGGGACGAUAUAGCCAUGGACUUCGUGGUCAGAUUGCCCGGUUCAUCGGGUGGCCAUGAUGCAAUUUGGGUAGUGAUGGAUCGCUUGACGAAAUCGGCACAUUUUCUAUCGAUCCACACUACUUAGUCUGGAGGCAAGCUUGCGCAAGUAUAUCUUGAUGAAGUGGUGAGACACUCUUUCCUUGUUGUUUAUCUUGCAUAUUAUAUGUUGAGCCUAACAUCUAUACCAUAUUUCUUUAUUGCUCUACUUAGCUGUUUUGCAUAUCCUGUAUCAUGUUUAGAAGUAGAGCGGUUUUGUGAUUAUUUGUGAGAUUGAUGACCUAGUCGGUCAGUGCGUGUAUCUGGUAUUGUGACCUAGUUGGUCGGUUCUUGUAUCUCGUAUUUGUGACCUAUUCGGUCGGUUUACUGCAUUAUUAUCGAGACCUAUUUGGUCGGUUGGACUAUUUGAUGACCUGUACGGUCGGUAUACCCUGAGGGGUAGGAUUGUCGGCUAGUUGCCGAUGGUUGGCCAUUGAGCAUAUCAGCAUCGAUCGCCACAACUCGUACGCAUGUCACGAAAACCAGCGGUCUGAUCCACCGCAAAAGGGUGUUCUUUUUCGGAAAAGUGGUUGGGUGUGCCAACUCGUGAGCCCAUAGGCUACCUUGGGUCAUAUGUAGGUAGAGUAGCAGUGGCACAGGCUUGAGGUCUGCCGUGCGGACCAACAGGGCAAAGUUUCUGAUUGGGUAUUUUGGACUUCUCGUCCGGUUGAUACAUGCAUACAGUAGCGGUAGUGAUUCAUAUGUAUAUAUUUCGUUCCUUGUUCAUCAUUGCUACUGUAUUACCAUUAUCUAUCUAUCUAUACUUGUUGUUAUCCUCCGUGACUGGAGAGUACCCUCGCCCUCGUCGGCUUGCGGUACCCACUGGGAGGGGAGACAUGUGUACAUGUUCUCACCCCCCACCCCCAUUACAAGUGACGUCGUGGGUCUUAGUUGGACGGCUUGUGAGGAGCGCACUUAGCGAUUCGGUAGAGCUUUCGGACACGUCCAUUCGGUUUAAACUCUUAACUGUUUUCUUUUAAUAAAUGCCUUAAAUAGUAAUUAUGGUUCAGUGAUUUAUCACAGUUGGAUUUAUCUGGUUUUAUGAUUGUAAUAAAGGAUUUGUGAUUCUUGCAAAUUGGAAAUGGUUUUCUACCCCUCGUGGUAGCGAGUUUUAAAGGAAAAAGGUUUCCUUGUGGGAAACAGUUUUUAAAAAGGUUUUCUUGGUUUUCAUGGCUUAGUGUUUUAAAAAAUGAGUUUCCGGGUAGGAAACAUUUUAAACUGAUAGUUGUGCGCCGGAUUUAUGGAUAAUUCUGAAUGUGAAUGUGAAUGGUGUAUGAAUAUGUGAAUGUUUAUAUGUGUGGUUGUAUCAUGUAUCGUGAAUCUUGUAUUUUGUACGCCGUGCAAAUAUAGGGGAGACUCUAUUCGUGUGAACAGUGAAUUCCCUGUAUUUGUGGCGGAUCUGGCAUACCCUGGGGGUCAGGUUUUCAAAAAAAAAAAAAAAAUUUUGGGCUCUUCCGCAAUGACUUUAAACCAAAAAGGGACCCUGGGGCGUGACAUUCCUAAACUAAGGAGGAAGCGCCAAAUUCCUAAACUAAGGAGGAAGCGCCACGUCAUCUUACAUAUUGGGGAUUAAUAUAGUUGUAUAGACGCCACGUCUUCUUACAUAUUAGGGAUUAAUAUAGUUGUAUAGAUAUAGUUGUAUAGAUUACAAAAUUCCUAAACUAAGGGGAAGCGUCACGUCAUCUUACAUAUUGAGGAUUAAUAUAGUUGUAUAGAUAUAGAUAUAGAUAUAGAUAGAUAUAGAUUCUCAAAAAACAUAUUUUAUUUUAAUUUUUUUAAAAAAAUUACGUGUAUACGAACUAUUUUAUCCGUUUAUUUAAUAAUUCAUAAAUUAACUAAUAAAGAUAAGAAUUAUUUAAACUUUAUUCCUAAUAUACAAAAUCAACAAAAACAACCCCACAAUAUAAAUUUUUUCUUCAAAUCAUGCGAAAACAACACCAUGCAAAGAAUAAAAAAGUGAAUAGUACGCUAUAAAUAGAAUAACCUUAACAGAAUUAUUGAGUCCAUAAAUUAACCAAAAAAAAGAGAAAAAAAAUUAAAGAGCGAAUAGAAGAAAGAUUAAAUCGAAUAAUGGGGCGUUAUAAAGGAGAAAUUAUUCAUUGGGCUGGGCGGUGCCUAUAUGAGUCAGCCCAAUAAUGGGGCGCUGCGAAGGAGAAAUUUGUCACACCCCAAGACCCAGCGGAUGCCCACCCGGCGUGUGUCCAGACCCGCCAUAUGCCUACAACAUAUAAGGCGUCUACAACAGUAGUAUAAGGAAGCAAGAAAAAAAAAUAAAACAUCUAGUACGAUAUCAGAGCAUACAACAACUAAUUUCUAAUAACAGGUAGAAGAAAUAAAAUUGAACAACUAUCAGAAUCCAAAAGAUGAAUACAUCACAAGAUCCACAUAGAUUUAACUAAAUACAAAAUGGUGGUCUCUAUACUGUCACGCCCCGGGACCCAGCGGAAGCCCGCCUGGCACGUGCCCAGACCCGCCAUACGUCUAAAACAUAUAAGGCGUCUAAAAACAACAAUAAUAAAAGCAAUAAUAANAUGCGACUCCCUUGCCGCGAUCCCGUGCCUCCGCCGGUGCCGAAGGCUCUGAAAUAAAACUAUAAAACAGUGGGCGUGAGAACUAUUGAAUAAUAGUUCCCAGUGGGCAAUUACUGGCUUCAGUGAAAUGCACCACUAGGCCCAAACUAAAAAGGGGGUCAGUAAGCAGAUAUAAACAAAAACGAUAUGUACGACAAGUAAAUAAGCACGAAUAUUUGCUACCACAUGAUAU
rnacentral:lncRNA from 1 species